CGGUAGCCUACACAUGCAGUCGAACGGCAGCACAGAGGAGCUUGCUCCUUGGGUGGCGAGUGGCGGACGGGUGAGGAAUACAUCGGAAUCUACUUUUUCGUGGGGGAUAACGUAGGGAAACUUACGCUAAUACCGCAUACGACCUACGGGUGAAAGCAGGGGACCUUCGGGCCUUGCGCGAUUGAAUGAGCCGAUGUCGGAUUAGCUAGUUGGCGGGGUAAAGGCCCACCAAGGCGACGAUCCGUAGCUGGUCUGAGAGGAUGAUCAGCCACACUGGAACUGAGACACGGUCCAGACUCCUACGGGAGGCAGCAGUGGGGAAUAUUGGACAAUGGGCGCAAGCCUGAUCCAGCCAUACCGCGUGGGUGAAGAAGGCCUUUGGGUUGUAAUACCCUUUUGUUGGGAAA
rnacentral:rRNA from 1 species